UGGAAACGCAGAGCCUUGACAAAUGAAGCA
rnacentral:piRNA from 1 species